rnacentral:lncRNA from 1 species
UAUUAGGAGGAAAUGAUCGUCCUAAAAAAGCUUUCCAGUUUCACUGAUUCACCCAAUGAUGCUCAGCUCACUCACCGGCGAUGGCCGAUGCGCUCGUGCCAAAAGCUUAGCUCUCUCUUGUUUUACUUUGUAGAACAAUGCAACAAUAUGCCUAUGGAAGUUGAUAACUGGGUAGCCUACAGACAGAUUGGUGUUCUCUUUUAAUCAGGAUCCAUUUACUGUCACAUAUACUCCCUCUCCUUCCUCUAGGUCAUCAGGCUGCUGGUUAUACUCCCUCUCUGACCUCUAGGUCAUCAGGCUGCUGAUUAUACUCCCUCUCUGACCUCUAGGUCAUCAGGCUGCUGAUUAUACUCCCUCUCCUCCCUCUAGG